AGAUCCUUCCAGACGAUGCGAAGGACUUGGGCCAGAUCAAGCCACACCUCCGCUUUCCCUUUCCCAUUCGAUCGUCUGGUUUGGAGCAGAUAGGAGAGAAAGAGAGAGAGAGAGAGAGAGAGGAGAGAGUAUUGGACACGGACAGAAGAACGAAAGAAGAAGCCUGUGCGACCGACGGUGAGGCGUUAUUUUUUUUGGGGGUUUCUUCGCCGUAGAGUUCGUGAUUUGCUGAUGUUCCUUUCAUUCAUCCAGUGGUGAAAUCCGUGGUUGUUACUUGUUCCUUGAGGGUCUGCUUGUAUAAAGACUAAAAACGUUGAAAGCCAAAUUGAUGGCUUGCCAAUUUUGGCCAAUUUUUCCGAUUGAGUCCCUUAAUUAGCUGGGCUUCCCUUAUAAUGCUGAGGGUGAUUUCGUCUUUUGGAUGUGUGAGUAGAUUCUCGUGUCACGCUGACGUCAGCAGUAAGCACGCGUACAUAUUUUUUGUGUCUCUAUCCACUUCUCAGAGAGUGGGAUGGUUCCACACGAAACCAGCGGAGUGAGCUGGGGAAGCAAUUGCUUCUGCAAUGAUUUUCUCACCUCCUUGGCCUUUUCGCCGCCUGGAUCUUCCUCUAACUCUUUCGCCCGUCCGAUCCCCCGUCAUCCUUGACCGUGCCUUCUCCGGGAUCAAAACCCUAGGCGAUUGCCAGUGGAGGCGCUUUGGAGCCGAUCUUACAUGCUGCGAUAUGAGAUUUGUGCGCUUUCUUCAAGCUAGGCGAUCUUUGUUCUGUUGCUGUGGUGGGCUUUCCUCUGAAUUUUUAAGGCUUGUAAGGAUGAUAUGGAUUUCUGAUUUUUGGGUCCUGUGCACCGCUAUUUCUCAUACACACUUCAAGAAGGAAAAUACAUGUUUCUAGAGCUCUGGUUUGGUGACCGAUAUUCACCGCUGCUCUCUGCGAUCGGGAUCUCUACCGGUUGAAAUCUGCUCUCUCUUCGUCAGUUGAGAGACAAGAAGCAUGCUGGAGAUAUACCUGCAGUCUUGACAACCAAUCUUCUGACACUGGUUUAUGAGUUUAAGCUGGAAAACAAGGCUCUAAAAGAGCAUUUGCUUCCUUCUUGGUCCUUUUCUUCCAGUCGUGUAUCAAAACAAUUCAUGGACACUCAGCGAUUGGAUACACACGUGUUCAUGUCUCACAAGUUCAGGUUGAGAGCAGAGCACCUGAGUCUUCACAAAGCAAUUUGUGUUCUGUUAGGCUGGAAAAGUGGGGUCGCCCCUGAUGUUAGCACAUGGGUUCCGGAGCAUAUUCCUUGUAAAGAAGCCAUGACUCAAAAAGAGGAUGUCAUUCUUAGAGCGGUAAGGUUCUUGGGUACGUUUUCUGGGUUGCAAGAUGCAGAGAGGCUUCACAAAUAUUUUGUCGACAACAAGCGUGGAAUAGAUUUUGGGUGAGGGGGCCCCAGUUCCAGCAAGGGCAAAAGCAGCAGCAGUAAUGAGGUAGCUGGGAAAAAGAAUGUGGAGCUCGUGCUUUACAGAUACAUGGGGAUUUCUGAGGACUUUGGAUAAAAUCGAUAUAGAUACAAAGAGAAAGUGUUAGAUAAAGAGCAAGAAGGAGAUCCAUGAUCUUUGAAAUGCUCCUGUUAAACCCGAAUGAGUGUGGGGCAUAUUACUACGACAGAGAAAUUCGUCUUACCAAUAAACAGUUUUUGAUUUACAGUUUAUGUUUAGACAUGAGUAUUAUCCCUUAUAUCCUACCUGGAUUGAUUUUGAUGGUUCGGAUAGGAAGAGGUUGUUUAAACUUUCGGUCUACCCAUGAUAUGUGGCAUUCACAAAAGAUUUUGCUUAUAAGUGAUAUAAACAAAUGUUGUGUUGUGUUUGA